rnacentral:rRNA from 1 species
UGGUAGUGGGGGAUAACGUUCGGAAACGGACGCUAAUACCGCAUACGUCCUACGGGAGAAAGCAGGGGACCUUCGGGCCUUGCGCUAUCAGAUGAGCCUAGGUCGGAUUAGCUAGUUGGUGAGGUAAUGGCUCACCAAGGCGACGAUCCGUAACUGGUCUGAGAGGAUGAUCAGUCACACUGGAACUGAGACACGGUCCAGACUCCUACGGGAGGCAGCAGUGGGGAAUAUUGGACAAUGGGCGAAAGCCUGAUC